rnacentral:lncRNA from 1 species
UUUUUUAGCUCACCUGGCCCAAAGGGCCAAGUGAGCUUUUCCUAUCACUUGGCGUCCGGCGUCCGUCGUCGUCGUCCGUCGUCGUUAACUUUUACAAAAAUCUUCUCCUCUGAAACUACUGGGCCAAAUUUAACCAAACUUGACCAAAAUCAUCAUUGGGGUAUCUAGUUUAAAAAAUAUGUGGCGUGACCCAGCCAACCAACCAAGAUGGCCGCCACGGCUAAAAAUAGAACAUAGGGG